GAUGAAUGCCAGCCGUUGGUCUGCUUGCAGGUCAGUGGCGCCGCUAACGCAUUAAGCAUUCCGCCUGGGGAGUACGGUCGCAAGAUUAAAACUCAAAGGAAUUGACAGGGGCCCGCACAAGCGGUGGAGCAUGUGGUUUAAUUCGAAGCAACGCGCAGAACCUUACCAUCCCUUGACAUGGCAUGUUACCUCGAGAGAUCGGGGAUCCUCUUCGGAGGCGUGCACACAGGUGCUGCAUGGCUGUCGUCAG
rnacentral:rRNA from 1 species